rnacentral:lncRNA from 1 species
CAAUUUCCCCUUUUUAUAUACAUGUUUGAAUUAUUUUAAAUAUUCUUAAAAAGUCAAAUAGAUAUUACUAUAUUUUCCCUCAAAUACAUCUGAAUAAAACAUUGUCAUAUCUUUUUUUUACAAUAUAAAUAUAUAUUUUAUUUUUAAUUAAAGAAAACAUUUUAAAAUAUUUAAUUACUUUCGUAUUUAUUUAAAAUAUAAAUUUACAUUUCAUUUUUAUUAUUAAAAUAUAAAUGUAUAUUUCAUUUUUAUUAAAAAAAUUUUUAAGUACCUAAUUAAUUUUGUAAUUAUAUUAAACUCAUGUACACUUUUGUAUUAAAUUUGUGAUAUUAAUU